rnacentral:rRNA from 1 species
AUAUCAAUAAGCGGAGGAAAAGAAAAUAACUAUGAUUCCCCUAGUAACGGCGAGCGAACCGGGAAUAGCCCAACAUGAAAAUCUCCCUUUGGAGAAUUGUAGUCUAUAGAAGUGCCCUCUGCGGCGAGUGGAGCCCAAGUCCGCUGGAAGGCGGCGUCAGAGAGGGUGAGAACCCCGUCGGCUCCAUCUUAGCUGCACCACGAGGUGCUUUCCACGAGUCGGGUUGUUUGGGAAUGCAGCCCUAAAUUGGAGGUAAAUCCCUUCUAAGGCUAAAUAACGGCGAGAGACCGAUAGCGCACAAGUA